GCUUAUAGCUGAACAUAUCCACAAAACAGCUGGCAAUACUUCAUCUGCAACAGUAGUUGACAGCAGUAAGGAAGAUGGUGGGGAUGUAGUAGAGGAAUCAACCGAUUCAUUGUGUGUUGAAGAGGCUACAGAAUUUGUUUUAGAAGAAACCAAGAACUGCGACGAUGGGCACACAAUAUAAUCGUAAACCAAAAAAAAAAGAUCAAAGUUCUGUCAGACUAAUUUAUCAACAAAAACGAAACCAGUAAACACUGAAAGAAAAAAGAUGGUCAAUAAAGGCACACAGACAGAUUACAUACAGAAUGCUGCAUCUCACAUGUCUCAUGCAAAACCACCCAUGAUAGAUGACUAUUGUUGGGUAAGACCAGAGCACAUAGAACAAGAAAUGGUAAAACCCCUACUUAAAUCACAGAAAAGAGUAUCCAACAGUAGUGCUGAUCAUGAACCACUUUCAUCCCCAUUUAAAGACUCGGAUGUACUUGAUCCAACUUUUGAACCAAGUUCUUCAGAUUUGUCAGAAAAUGAACAGGACAUGGAGAAUGAUAACCAUAGAAGGUAUACAUUUGUGUUAUUAUUGUGAACUGAUCAUAUUGCAUAUAUUUAUUUAUAUAUAUAUAUAUAUUCAGUCU